GACGAACGCUGGCGGCGCUGCUUAACACAUGCAAGUCGAACGGAAAGGCCCUGCUUUUGUGGGGUGCUCGAGUGGCGAACGGGUGAGUAACACGUGAGUAACCUGCCCUUGACUUUGGGAUAACUUCAGGAAACUGGGGCUAAUACCGGAUAGGAGCUCCUGCUGCAUGGUGGGGGUUGGAAAGUUUCGGCGGUUGGGGAUGGACUCGCGGCUUAUCAGCUUGUAGGUGGGGUAGUGGCUUACCAAGGCUUUGACGGGUAGCCGGCCUGAGAGGGUGACCGGCCACAUUGGGACUGAGAUACGGCCCAGACUCCUACGGGAGGCAGCAGUGGGGAAUAUUGCACAAUGGGCGGAAGCCUGAUGCAGCAACGCCGCGUGCGGGAUGACGGCCUUCGGGUUGUAAACCGCUUUCGCCUGUGACGAAGCGUGAGUGACGGUAAUGGGUAAAGAAGCACCGGCUAACUACGUGCCAGCAGCCGCGGUGAUACGUAGGGUGCGAGCGUUGUCCGGAUUUAUUGGGCGUAAAGGGCUCGUAGGUGGUUGAUCGCGUCGGAAGUGUAAUCUUGGGGCUUAACCCUGAGCGUGCUUUCGAUACGGGUUGACUUGAGGAAGGUAGGGGAGAAUGGAAUUCCUGGUGGAGCGGUGGAAUGCGCAGAUAUCAGGAGGAACACCAGUGGCGAAGGCGGUUCUCUGGGCCUUUCCUGACGCUGAGGGGCGAAAGCGUGGGGAGCGAACAGGCUUAGAUACCCUGGUAGUCCACGCUGUAAACGGUGGGUACUAGGUGUGGGGUCCAUUCCACGGGUUCCGUGCCGUAGCUAACGCUUUAAGUACCCCGCCUGGGGAGUACGGCCGCAAGGCUAAAACUCAAAGGAAUUGACGGGGCCCCGCACAAGCGGCGGAGCAUGCGGAUUAAUUCGAUGCAACGCGUAGAACCUUACCUGGGUUUGACAUGGAUCGGGAGUGCUCAGAGAUGGGUGUGCCUCUUUUGGGGUCGGUUCACAGGUGGUGCAUGGCUGUCGUCAGCUCGUGUCGUGAGAUGUUGGGUUAAGUCCCGCAACGAGCGCAACCCUUGUUCACUGUUGCCAGCACGUUAUGGUGGGGACUCAGUGGAGACCGCCGGGGUCAACUCGGAGGAAGGUGGGGAUGACGUCAAGUCAUCAUGCCCCUUAUGUCCAGGGCUUCACGCAUGCUACAAUGGCUGGUACAGAGAGUGGCGAGCCUGUGAGGGUGAGCGAAUCUCGGAAAGCCGGUCUCAGUUCGGAUUGGGGUCUGCAACUCGACCUCAUGAAGUCGGAGUCGCUAGUAAUCGCAGAUCAGCAACGCUGCGGUGAAUACGUUCCCGGGGCU
rnacentral:rRNA from 1 species